AUUGAACGCUGGCGGCAGGCUUAACACAUGCAAGUCGAGCGGGCGAGGUUGCUUCGGUAACUGAGCUAGUGGCGGACGGGUGAGUAAUGCUUAGGAAUCUGCCUAUUAGUGGGGGACAACAUUCCGAAAGGAAUGCUAAUACCGCAUACGCCCUACGGGGGAAAGCAGGGGAUCUUCGGACCUUGCGCUAAUAGAUGAGCCUAAGUCAGAUUAGCUAGUUGGCGGGGUAAAGGCCUACCAAGGCGACGAUCUGUAGCGGGGCUGAGAGGAUGGUCCGCCACACCGGGACUGAGACACGGCCCAGACUCCUACGGGAGGCAGCAGUGGGGAAUAUUGGACAAUGGGCGGAAGCCUGAUCCAGCCAUGCCGCGUGUGUGAAGAAGGCCUUUUGGUUGUAAAGCACUUUAAGCGAGGAGGAGGCUACUUGGAUUAAUACUCUAGGAUAGUGGACGUUACUCGCAGAAUAAGCACCGGCUAACCCUGUGCCAGCCGCCGCGGUAA
rnacentral:rRNA from 1 species